ACACUGUUCAUGGGUUACCGCGGCUGCUGGCACGGAGUUAGCCGGUGCUUCUUCUGUGAGUGAUGUCCUUCCUGCCGGCUAUUAACCCGCAGGCCUUCUUCCUCACUGAAAGUGCUUUACAACCCGAAGGCCUUCUUCACACACGCGGCAUGGCUGGAUCAGGGUUGCCCCCAUUGUCCAAUAUUCCCCACUGCUGCCUCCCGUAGGAGUCUGGGCCGUGUCUCAGUCCCAGUGUGGCUGAUCAUCCUCUCAGACCAGCUACGGAUCGUCGCCUUGGUGAGCCGUUACCUCACCAACCAGCUAAUCCGACAUAGGCUCAUCCGAUAGCGCGAGGCCCGAAGGUCCCCCCGCUUUCCCCCGUAGGGCGUAUGCGGUAUUAGCCUGGGUUUCCCCCAGGUUAUCCCCCACUACCGGGCAGAUUCCUAUGCAUUACUCACCCGUCCGCCGCUCGCCACCAGGGAGCAAGCUCCCCGUGCUGCCGCUCGACUUGCAUGUGUUAGGCCUGCCGCCAGCGUUCAAU
rnacentral:rRNA from 1 species